AUGGUAUUAUUUCUCCCUUGACUUCCUCCACUAAUCCUCUAGCCUCCCCUUCGUUACUGCCACUCUUUUCUCGUCUAUUUGCCUUCGUUCCCCGGGAAAACCUAAUGCCCCUUCCAUAUGUGUCACUGUUCCAUAUGACUGUUCCCUCAGCCAGAGUCGGGCGAAGGUCUGUGCAUCUCAGCACUAUAUGCUCUGUGGUCUCAAUUUCGGCUCCGCAAGCUGUGCACAAAAGGUCCACGUCUUCAAAUUUAGCCCUUGACCUUUCUACGGACAGCAGUGUCUGGUGGUUGCGGCCAAACAGCAUCCUCUAGUCUAAGCCAGGACCAACUUUUUGUCCCCUCAGAGCCUGCUUACAGUAGUUCAGGCUCGGACAGCUCAAGAUGCUGGUCAAUUCAAGCAUCUUUAAAACUGCUGGUUGGGCUGCAUCUUCAGAUAAUUCAAAUAAAUGUAUAUGCAUUGACUAGGCCAAAAAAUGCCUAACCGAUAAGGAAUCAUGGCUUCAAAUGCAUACCAGUGCUGUACGACAAGCAAAUUUUAACAAGAAGAUUGCACAGUACAAGCUCUUCCACUCCUGGCUCAAUGCUUGACUGUCCUGAAAGCACCAGAAUGUGAACUGGAUUGUCCUGUGGGAAGCACCAGUGAUUUCCGCAGUUUUCUUCUGGUAGGUCCCAGACCUGGAGAGCAGAACAAUCUUGGCCCGGACGCAUUUAAAUGGUAUUACUUUGAAAGUGCAACAGUAUGCAAUAUCAUACUUCACCAAUAAAAUAUAUAUAUAUGUAA